UACGAAGGGGGGCUAGCGUUGCUCGGAAUUACUGGGCGUAAAGCGUGCGCAGGCGGUUUUGUAAGUUUGUCGUGAAAGCCCCGGGCUCAACCUGGGAAUUGCGAUGAAGACUGCAAGGCUUGAAUCUGGCAGAGGGGGGUAGAAUUCCACGUGUAGCAGUGAAAUGCGUAGAGAUGUGGAGGAACACCGAUGGCGAAGGCAGCCCCCUGGGUCAAGAUUGACGCUCAUGCACGAAAGCGUGGGGAGCAAACAGG
rnacentral:rRNA from 1 species